rnacentral:lncRNA from 1 species
GUCAUGUGUACUAUAAUUGUUUGUCUGUUUGUCGUUUUCAGUUUUCAGUUUUAGCCAUUGCGUUGUCAGUUGUCAGUUUAUUUUAGAUUUUAUGAGUUUGACUGUCCCUUUGGUAUCUUUCGUCCCUCCUUUCGUAAAUAUAGUGCCGAUGUGGCAUCCGUGUACUAUGGACACGAUGGACACAUUCUUGUUUCCCAAUGUUUUACGGAUUUUAAUGUAUAUGCAACUGGUAUGACCCCUUAAAUAGUAAACAUGUCAAAGAAAUCAGACAGAAUACAGAGAGUCUCUAUAUAUUAAAGUAGUAUAAUCGUAGUUUACAUGUAGAUAAACGCGAAAAAUAAUU